GGCACUAUGGCCGAGCGGUCUAUGGCGUGUGACUCAAGUGAAAGCUUGCCUACGAGCAGUAGGUUUCUCAUCUCCGUAAGGAGGCGUGGGUUCAAAUCCCACUGGUGUCA
rnacentral:tRNA from 1 species